CACGUAGGGUGCAAGCGUUAAUCGGAAUUACUGGGCGUAAAGCGUGCGCAGGCGGUGAUGUAAGACAGAUGUGAAAUCCCCGGGCUCAACCUGGGAACUGCAUUUGUGACUGCAUCGCUGGAGUGCGGCAGAGGGGGAUGGAAUUCCGCGUGUAGCAGUGAAAUGCGUAGAUAUGCGGAGGAACACCGAUGGCGAAGGCAAUCCCCUGGGCCUGCACUGACGCUCAUGCACGAAAGCGUGGGGAGCAAACAGG
rnacentral:rRNA from 1 species